ensembl:lncRNA
GGGGGCCCCGCGCCCCGCGCCGCCGGACACGGAGGGAGCGCCGGGCCCGACCGCAGCCCCCCCCGCGUCUCUCCUUCCGACGGGGCACGGAGCGCCCGCAGCCCUCAGCCCGCUUCCAACGAGGACUCCGCGCUCCUCGGGGCCGCCGGGCCCCCCUCCUGUCCUCUCCUCUCCUUUCCUCUCCUUUGCUCUCUUCUCUCCCGUCCUGUCCCGUUCCAUCCCGCCCCCUCUCCGUGCCGGCACUGCCCCACCAGCAUCCCGGCGUCUGCACCGGAGCCCACGGCCGCGAGAGGCGAUGCGAUGCGAUGCGAUACGAUGCGAUGCCACGCAGGGGUUCGUCUCUGGACCAACGUCCAUUGUCUCCUUCGAUUUCCCUUUUGAAUUUAGCCCAUCUCCCCCCCUCCGUUCCGCAGCGUUGUUUUCCGGGAUGCAGAACUCCGGGCAGCCGACCCGGACCCCGCAGCCGAGCAGGUGGGAAUCCGGCAGGUUUGUGAGGAGUGAGGAACGGCCUCGUUUGGCUUCGGGGCUCUUUUUUCCUCCUUUUUUUUUUUUUUCUUUUUUCCUCCUUUUUUUUUUUUCUUUUUUUCUCCUUUUUGGCUUUUUUUCUCCCCCCCCCCCACCCUCCUCUCCUUUUCUUUCGACCACGGGGGUCGCAGAGAGAGGGCGAGCAGCAGGAAGGCAGCAGCAGAAGGCAGCAGCACAAAGCACACGGCCGCGGUGCCGCAGGGAUCCCCCACGCCGCGGUGCCGCCGACCUCAGGUGCAGAAAUCCCACCCCGCUCCUCUUCUUCUUCCUCCUCUCCCUCCUCCGAGCGCGGGUUUUUAACACGAACUCAACGCGUCUCCUCAGUACCUCAACGUGUGGUGGCUGGGGGAGCUGGGAGCCCCGCCACGUCUCCCCCCUUUUUUUGGGUUUGGUUUUCAUUUUUAUUUUUUUUUUUUCCCCCCCUUUUUGGUUUUUUUUUUUUUUUUUUUUUAAUUUUUUGUCCUCUCUCCCCCUUUUUUAAUUAUUCUUAAUGACCACUUCGACGUUCCGCCAGCGCGGCUCCUGCCGCCGCGGAGCACAGCGGGGCCUCUCGGCGCUCUCCUCUGUUAUUAAAUGGAUUUUCACUCUCGAAUGGUCUUUAUUUUUUAAAGCAAUCGGCUCAGUCCCGCCCUGCACAGCGGGGUUUUUUUUAAGCCAACACGCCGUACUCCUAACUUUGAACUGAAUGGGAGCCCGCUGUUCAUUCCAAAGUUCCAGCUAUUGCUGUGUGACGCCUCCCAGGCUCUCGUAGGACCGUCGUCGUCCCUCCGGUUCUGUCUCACACCACGCACGCCCGCCCUCUCAUUUCAGCUGCCUUCUUAAUUUAUUGUCUCCAUCCCUCUCCCGGCCGCCCCGCUCCGUUUGCUCCGUAUUUAUUGGCAGAAGUGAGGCACGGCCGAGGGCGGCUCAUCCCAGCGGGGCCGUCCCCACGCGCCCCCCGCCGCCCCUUUUGAAGGGAAUUUUUAACCAGGACUCUCUUCCGUUUUCCUGUUUUUAACUCUCCUCCAUCACGAAAGGACUCGGUUUCCGACGCCCUCCCGGGAGCAAUAGUAAUUCCUGCGUGUCCGCCCGGCGCCGUACACUCGUACUGUAUUUUGUACUGUAAGGCAGCUGUCCCAGUGAUGUCCUGCUGUAUUGCUGUGUGUGUCCGCGCCAGCAGCGCCGCGUCCCCUCGCUUCGGUGCUGAUGGACUUUCUGUUGCUCAGCUGCUGGGAGCCACUCCGGUUCUUGCGCCGACGCGGGCGGUACCUCUCCUUUUCGAAGAGGGUUAUAUAUAUAUAUAUAUAAAUAUAUAUAUUCUUUUUGGGUUUAUUUUUUUUUCUCCUUUUUUUGGUUUUUUUUUUGGAUUUUUUUUUGGCUGAAUUCGCCUUACCUUUCUUACUCCGUGGUAGCGCCGCUUAGGAGCCACGUGGAAAAGGGAAGAGGCAAACAUCACGCAAGCCAAAAAAAACCCAACACCCAGCACAUCUGUCCCACCCGGCGCCGGCUCUGAGCGCUGUAUCUAUGUACAGAAACCUCCCACAGCUCCAUUUGACCUUCCAGCACACGGGUGAGAAGAGCAGAGCGCGUCGGGGGAAGAAAUCUCGCAGCAACAAAGAGAGAACAAGCAGAGCGGUGCGGUGUUUUCUGGCCGCAGCCACACGGAGAGGCUGAGCGAGGCCCGGAUGCACCCCGCGAGGGGAGGAGAGGGGUUGUGGUGGUGGUCUGCCGUGCUCGGUGGUGGGAGCCGACUCCCCUCCUGCUCCCCAACGCCAGCGGGCAGAGCCGGGCUUCGCGUGGCGGCGGUUCGGUUGUUCCUUCUGUGUCUGUAUACACACAGCCCUGUAUGUGUGUAUAGAUAUGAGGUGGUUGUUUCGCUUGGUUGGUUUUUGUUUUUGUUUUUCUUUUUCAAUGGCUUGGAUUGUGUAGGAGACGGGCAAAAGGCUUUUAUCCGGAAGGGGAACGCCGGGUUUGUGGAGCUUCCAGAUUUCUGUCGCCCCGGAAGGGACGGUUUGAGAGCGCGACUCUAUCAAAGCAUCUGCUGUACAAACGGAAAUGUAAAUCUUGUAUAGCGCCCCAGAACCUCGUGUAAAUAGCCGAGACGUCCGGGCCGGCCGCCCGCGUGGAUCAGCCCAAGAAUCAAAUCCCACGGCUCCGUCAAAGUCAAAACUGCUUCGAUUUUCCCCGCUCCCUCCCAAGAGAAAACGGAAACGCUGCGUUACCCCGCGUGCUUCCGGCCGCCCCGGGGUAACGGGCGCAGGAGUUGGCUGCAGUGAUCCCCUCAUAUUGAGUGGUCCAUCACUCCGUGACAGCGGAGGGCGACUCGUCGGGAUGCGGCCGCUCCCCGGCGCGGUUCCGAGGCGCUUCGCUCCCCAGCUGCUCCGCUCUGCACUGAGGGGCAGCUUCUCUCGUUGGCGGAAAAGAAAACCCACCUCGCCGGCUUCUCUUUUAAAAUAGAAGAUGAAAAAAAAAAAAAAUUAAAAAGGAAAAAAAAAAAAGUUAAAAAGAACCGUGAAGCGAGUGGUGAUGGUACGCGGGGCGGCGCGGCGACCGUCUCUCAGCAGAUAUUUGCCACGGGGCCGGGAGCAGAUUGAGAAGAUGGCCGUUGGAAGAGCAGCUCAGCUCCGUGCCGGGAGGUUUUGGGGACGUCUGCCCGCUGUGUGGGAAGGCGCUCGCCCCGUCCUGCAGCACGGAUUGAAGCUCGGAGCUCGGCAGCGAUGGAAGGAGGCGACGGGCGGCUCCUGGAGGCAGCGCGAGGCCGACAAGAUGGCGGAGCAGGCGGUUAUCCCGGGGCGCAGGAGGAGCCGGGGGCCGCUGGAUGGCAAAACACCUUGCAAGGAGGGCCGGGCCUGGCUCCUGCAAUAUCUGCUGAGAGACCAAAACGUCGUUCACUCCUCCCUGCGUACCUUGACGAAAGAAGAAAGUUUUAUUCCUCUUAUUUUUUUAAUGAAAGAAAGAAAAAAAAAAUAAAAGCAAACCAUGCACUUUACGCGGCCCAGCGCGGGGCUGCCCGGGGGGGUCCCGUCCCCUCUCCCACGGCGGCGGGGCCGAUUCUCAUUCCCUUCCUCUGCGGCCGGCGGGGCGGCUUCGGGAGCGCCGGGGAGCGGCCGGCGUUUGCCGAAGGCAGGUCCUGGAUUUACCACUAGCAAAAGAUGACGCCCGACGUGACGAACUCCUCAUGCUAGCGAGCACUCCUUACCGUAGCAGAUUUUUGCAAAUGGAGUUUUACAGUCUAUAUUUAAAGAAUUGUAUGUUUGUAACAAAUAAAAAAAAAAAAAGUAUGCGGAAAAGUGAAUGAAAAAAAAAAAAACAACAAAAAAAAAACCCACACGCUCGCCUGGCCUCGCUUUUUUGGGGGGCUGGAGAGGGGGGAGGUGGGGGGGAUGCAUCUCACGGAGGGGGUCGGGGGUGGUCGCUGUGGCACGUGGGCCAUAAGCAGCGUGGCCGCACCAUCCUGGGACGACGCAUCCCUGUGCGGGCCCCAGCGCGGGGACAGCUGGGCCGGGCUGCGGGAAGAGGUUG